rnacentral:rRNA from 1 species
AGAGUUUGAUCCUGGCUCAGGACGAACGCUGGCGGCGCGCCUAACACAUGCAAGUCGAACGGAGCUUAGAGAGCUUGCUUUUUAAGCUUAGUGGCGAACGGGUGAGUAACGCGUGAGUAACCUGCCCUAGAGUGGGGGACAACAGUUGGAAACGACUGCUAAUACCGCAUAAGCCCACGGUACCGCAUGGUACUGAGGGAAAAGGAUUUAUUCGCUUUAGGAUGGACUCGCGUCCAAUUAGCUAGUUGGUGAGGUAACGGCCCACCAAGGCGACGAUUGGUAGCCGGACUGAGAGGUUGAACGGCCACAUUGGGACUGAGACACGGCCCAGACUCCUACGGGAGGCAGCAGUGGGGGAUAUUGCACAAUGGGGGAAACCCUGAUGCAGCGACGCCGCGUGGAGGAAGAAGGUUUUCGGAUUGUAAACUCCUGUCGUUAGGGACGAUAAUGACGGUACCUAACAAGAAAGCACCGGCUAACUACGUGCCAGCAGCCGCGGUAAAACGUAGGGUGCAAGCGUUGUCCGGAAUUACUGGGUGUAAAGGGAGCGCAGGCGGGAAGACAAGUUGGAAGUGAAAACCAUGGGCUCAACCCAUGAAUUGCUUUCAAAACUGUUUUUCUUGAGUAGUGCAGAGGUAGAUGGAAUUCCCGGUGUAGCGGUGGAAUGCGUAGAUAUCGGGAGGAACACCAGUGGCGAAGGCGGUCUACUGGGCACCAACUGACGCUGAGGCUCGAAAGCAUGGGUAGCAAACAGGAUUAGAUACCCUGGUAGUCCAUGCCGUAAACGAUGAUUACUAGGUGUUGGGGGAUUGACCCCCUCAGUGCCGCAGUUAACACAAUAAGUAAUCCACCUGGGGAGUACGACCGCAAGGUUGAAACUCAAAGGAAUUGACGGGGGCCCGCACAAGCAGUGGAGUAUGUGGUUUAAUUCGAAGCAACGCGAAGAACCUUACCAGGUCUUGACAUCCGAUGCAUAGCACAGAGAUGUGUGAAAUCCUUCGGGACAUCGAGACAGGUGGUGCAUGGUUGUCGUCAGCUCGUGUCGUGAGAUGUUGGGUUAAGUCCCGCAACGAGCGCAACCCUUAUUGCCAGUUACUACGUUAAGAGGACUCUGGCGAGACUGCCGUUGACAAAACGGAGGAAGGUGGGGAUGACGUCAAAUCAUCAUGCCCUUUAUGAC